rnacentral:rRNA from 1 species
AUUGAACGCUGGCGGCAGGCCUAACACAUGCAAGUCGAGCGAGUGGCGGACGGGUGAGUAAUGUCUGGGAAACUGCCUGAUGGAGGGGGAUAACUACUGGAAACGGUAGCUAAUACCGCAUACCAUCGGAUGUGCCCCGAUGGGAUUGGCUAGUAGGUGGGGUAAAGGCUAACCUAGGCGACGAUCCCUAGCUGGUCUGAGAGGAUGACCGGCCACACUAGAACUGGGACACGGUCCAGACGCCUACGGGAGGCAGCAGUGGGGAAUAUUGCACAAUGGGCGCAAGUCUGAUGCAGCCAGGCCGCGUGUAUGAAGAAGUCCUUCGGGUUGGAAAGUACUUUCAGCGGGGGGGCGUUACCCGCAGAAGAAGCACCGGCUAACUCCGUGCCAGCCGCCGCGGUAAUAC